CCCGCACGUUCCCUUGCCUCGGCAGAGCAGCAGAACACACAGCGGCGGCACAGCACUUAGCGGCACAACACACAGCGGCACAGCACACAGCGGCAGCCAUUCCUAGGGACGGAGAAGCACUUCUGGCAGAUACGCGGAGCUGUCCGACGUCUCCCGAACCCUGUGUGGGGCCGUCCUACGGCACAUAGCUCAACUGUAUCUCACUGCAGGCGGAUACCCUGAGAAAAAAGUGGAAGGAAAAAACAAUCAAAGUUGUUAUCUUGUUAGCAAUAAUAAAUGUAUCCAGUAAAUAAAAACUCGUAAACUCC